rnacentral:misc_RNA from 1 species
AGGCGCGCCUUUAAUAACUAUGUUCAAUAUGAUAUCUUAGUAGAUGAAACUAGUGAAAGAGUUAACUAAAAGUUGAAGUUAUGGAGGACUCUUGAUAGUAAGAAUUUUAGGCUAAGUAGAAGUAAGAUGGAAUAUAUGUGUUGUAAGUUUAGCUCUCAUAAAAUGAAUGAAUGUAAGAUUUGAUUAGAUGGAGUUUUAGUGCCAAAAUGCAACCAAUUCAAAUAUUUAGAUUCUAUCAUUUAGAAGAACGAAGUAAUAAUUGAGGAUCUAACUCAUAGAAUCAAAACAAAAUGGAUGAAAUGAAGGAGUGUGACAGGUGUGCUAAAGGACUAUAGGAUCCCCUAACAAAGUGAAAUGUUAGGCAUCUAGGUAUAAUAUAUGCACAAGAUGAGUGUGGCAGAAUUGCAUCGUUAAGAUGAAUGUUUGGUGUUACAAUUAUGAAUAAGAUUAGGAAUGGUCAUAUCUAUCAGAUAGUGCACGUAGCACAUACAACAAUAAUAACAACUAAACUUUAAUCUUGAACAAUGCAAGUAGCACAAUUGAGGAUAAUUUGGUGGUGGAAGGAGUGAGAAGGGAAAGGGAGAGACCUAAAAUGAUGUGGAGUGAACUAGUAUCAAAAGAUUUACAAUUUU